UNGGAAGCUGCAGAUGAGGGAUGUGGUC
rnacentral:piRNA from 1 species